CCUACGGGGGGCUGCAGGGGGGAAUAUUGGACAAUGGGGGGAACCCUGAUCCAGCCAUGCCGCGUGUGUGAAGAAGGCCCUCGGGUUGUAAAGCACUUUCAGUGAGGAAGAACGCCUGGUGGUUAAUACCCAUCAGGAAAGACAUCACUCACAGAAGAAGCACCGGCUAACUCCGUGCCAGCAGCCGCGGUAAUACGGAGGGUGCGAGCGUUAAUCGGAAUUACUGGGCGUAAAGCGCGCGUAGGUGGCUUGAUAAGCCGGUUGUGAAAGCCCCGGGCUCAACCUGGGAACGGCAUCCGGAACUGUCAAGCUAGAGUGCAGGAGAGGAAGGUAGAAUUCCCGGUGUAGCGGUGAAAUGCGUAGAGAUCGGGAGGAAUACCAGUGGCGAAGGCGGCCUUCUGGACUGACACUGACACUGAGGUGCGAAAGCGUGGGUAGCAAACAGGAUUAGAUACCCCAGUAGUC
rnacentral:rRNA from 1 species